GGGGAUUUGGCUCAGUGGUAGAGCACUUGCCUAGCAAGUGCAAAGCCCUGGGUUCGGUCCCCAGCUCCG
rnacentral:tRNA from 1 species